rnacentral:rRNA from 1 species
GACGGGCCCGCACAAGCAGCGGAGCGUGUGGUUUAAUUCGUUGCUACACGAAGAACCUUACCUGGGUUUGACAUAAUGGUGGUAGGGAUCCGAAAGGUGACCGACCCUUCGGGGAGCCAUUACAGGUGUUGCAUGGCUGUCGUCAGCUCGUGUCGUGAGAUGUUCGGUUAAGUCCGCUAACGAGCGCAACCCUCGCUGUGUGUUAUAUGUGUCACACAGGACUGCUGGUAUUAAGCCGGAGGAAGUGGGACGACGUCAAGUCAGCAUGACCUUUAUAUCCAGGGCUACACACACGCUACAAUGGUCAGUACAAUGGGUUGCCAAGCCGCGAGGCGGAGCCAAUCCUAAAAAGCUGGCCUCAGUUCAGAUUGCAGUCUGAAACUCGACUGCAUGAAGUCGGAGUUGCUAGUAAACGCAGGUCAGCUAUACUGCGUUGAAUACGUUCCCGGGGCUU